rnacentral:rRNA from 1 species
UACGUAGGGGGCAAGCGUUGCCCGGAAUCAUUGGGCGUAAAGAGCGCGUAGGCGGCCCUGUAAGUCCGCUGUGAAAGUCAAGGGCUCAACCCUUGGAUGCCGGUGGAUACUGCAGGGCUAGAGUCCGGAAGAGGCGAGUGGAAUUCCUGGUGUAGCGGUGAAAUGCGCAGAUAUCAGGAGGAACACCGAUGGCGAAGGCAGCUCGCUGGGACGGUACUGACGCUGAGGCGCGACAGCGUGGGGAGCAAACAGG